UCAUGUUAUCACAAUAUACUUUUGUUCAACUUCCUUCUUUUGGAACGACUUCACAAGUGCCGUGGUGUUUAACUAUGCUUCCUGGAGAAAUAUAUAAAAUAUCAGCAACAACAAAAACAAAGAAUAGAGAAAACAUUUUGGAUUUAAAAGUCCCUGCAAAAUAAAAUGUGACUUCCUUGUGGUUCAGACAAGAAAUGUAUGCAAGAGACCAUUGCAGUUCUCUAGGAACAAAUUGUGUCCUUUUAUAGUAAAAAAAAUAAUUUCACUUGCUUGCAUUUUUGGAUCAAUGGCACCAAAUGGGGAUGUGUUAAAAAAUCAAACUUGACUUCUUUUGAUUUUCAAUCAAUUCAUUUUAACAUAUGUGAGGAUAAUAAUCUCUCUGUCGAGAACAAAUCUCCAUUAACGUGGCUUUACCUGCUAACAGGGCGGAAUGCAGAAAAUGUAUACAUUUCACAGAUUUAGGGCCUGAGACUGAGGGAGCUAUCUAAUUAUAAUUCAAGACCCUUUCUGUAAUGCCCAGAGUUAUUUUGUUCUUCUUCUGUUUUCCAAGCAAUACUGAGAAGAAGAGUUGUAAGGGCUGUAUAACUUUGAAUGCUAGGUGUAAAGAAAUAUUGAAUGAUACUUGACAGGUCAGCUUGUUGCUCUAGACUUAUUCAAUGUUUUUUUUAUCUCCCUCUGUUAAAGGACCACUAUAGUGCCAGGAAAACAUACUUGUUUUCCUGGUACUAUAGUGCCCUGAGGGUGACCCCACCCUCAGGGACCCCCUCCCUGGGGAGAGGAAGGGGUUAAACUUACCCAUUUCUCCAGCGCCAGGCGGGGAGCUCUCCUCCUCCUCCUCUUCGGCUGAAUGCGCAGGAGCUGCGCGCGCAUUCAG